rnacentral:rRNA from 1 species
GGAACUCUGGCGAGACUGCCCCGGUCAACGGGGAGGAAGGUGGGGAUGACGUCAAGUCCUCAUGGCCCUUAUAUCCAGGGCUACACACGUGCUACAAUGGUAGGUACAAAGGGCAGCGACUUUGCAAGAAGGAGCGAAUCCCAAAAGCCUAUCUCAGUCCGAAUUGGGGUCUGCAACUCGACCCCAUGAAGUUGGAAUCGCUAGUAAUCGCGGAUCAGCAUGCCGCGGUGAAUAUGUUCCCGGGCCUUGUACACACCGCCCGUCACACCAUGGAAGUUGAUUAUACCCGACGUCGCUGGGCUAACUAUUUAUAGGGGCAGGCGCCUAAGGUACGGUCGAUAACUGGGGUGAAGUCGUAACAAGGUAGCCGUUGAGGAAUCAGCGGCUGGAUCACCUCCUUUCAAA